rnacentral:rRNA from 1 species
UACGUAGGGAGCAAGCGUUGUCCGGAAUCAUUGGGCGUAAAGCGCGCGUAGGUGGCUUCGUAAGUCCGUUGUGAAAGUCAAAGGCUCAACCUUUGAAAGCCGAUGGAUACUGCGGAGCUAGAGUACGGAAGAGGCGAGUGGAAUUCCUGGUGUAGCGGUGGAAUGCGCAGAUAUCAGGAGGAACACCAAUAGCGAAGGCAGCUCGCUGGGACGUUACUGACACUAAGGCGCGAAAGCGUGGGGAGCGAACAGG